rnacentral:misc_RNA from 1 species
AAAACAUUACAGAUUUGCAAUAUAAACAAUGUUUGCAGCAUUGUUGGCAAACAUAAUAAUACAGGAGAGAUAACAUAAUUUGGGGCAACAAAAAUUAAGCGGAAAAAAAGCCUUAUCACGCUCUACCUGUCAAUUCAAUGACGGAUUCAUGAACAAGCUCUGCCAGCAACUCCCUUUCAAUUUCCGUUCCAACAUUGUCUAUCUCUAACCUCAAAUGUUGAAGCCAACCCUUCCCCACAACCUCCUUCAUCACCAGUCCAUCUACCACCAGGCUGUUUCCGUCCUCAUCAUCAUCACCAGAGAGACAUUUCACCUCACUAGAAAACCACUCCUUCAUUCGGGUCCACACUUGGUCCACCAAUAUCAAUUUAGCUCCUUCUGGGAGAUUAUUACUGACCCCAUUAUGGGGUAUGGCUCUUUGGCAAGUGUCUGGCCCAUAUCCUGCGAUUUCCAUCAGUGCAGCAUUUACACAAUCAAACACAAGUUUUCGCGUUGAUCUCCUUUGUCUUCGCCUGGCUUCGUGUAGUGUAUUCUUCUCAUGCAGAUCGACAUACUUUUCUCUAAGAGAAGGAUCCAAAGGGCUUUCAGUCGAAUGCCACAUCAAUAAGAAGGCAUCUGAUUGCACUUCAUCAAGGCCAGCCACCGUUAAUAAUGUUUGAACAAAAGAGAACCA